rnacentral:rRNA from 1 species
CCUACGGGUGGCAGCAGUGGGGGAUAUUGCACAAUGGGGGGAACCCUGAUGCAGCGACGCCGCGUGUGGGAAGACGGUCCUCUGGAUUGUAAACCACUGUCCCCAGGGACGAAAAUGACGGUACCUGGGGAGGAAGCUCCGGCUAACUACGUGCCAGCAGCCGCGGUAAUACGUAGGGAGCGAGCGUUGUCCGGAAUUACUGGGUGUAAAGGGAGCGUAGGGGGGGAUGCAAGUUGGGUGUAAAAACUACCGGCUCAACUGGUAGUCGCACUCAAAACUGCAGCUCUUGAGGGACGUAGAGGCAGGGGGAAUUCCUAGUGUAGCGGUGAAAUGCGUAGAUAUGAGGAGGAACACCAGGGGGGAAGGGGGCCGGCUGGGCUUUUACUGACGCUGAGGCUCGAAAGUGGGGGGAGCAAACAGGAUUAGAUCCCCCAGUAGUC